UACGUAGGGAGCAAGCGUUGUCCGGAAUCAUUGGGCGUAAAGCGCGCGUAGGUGGCUCUGUAAGUCCGUUGUGAAAGUUAAAGGCUCAACCUUUGAAAGCCGAUGGAUACUGCAGAGCUAGAGUCCGGAAGAGGCGAGUGGAAUUCCUGGUGUAGCGGUGGAAUGCGCAGAUAUCAGGAGGAACACCAAUAGCGAAGGCAGCUCGCUGGGACGGUACUGACACUAAGGCGCGAAAGCGUGGGGAGCGAACAGG
rnacentral:rRNA from 1 species